rnacentral:rRNA from 1 species
AGAGUUUGAUCAUGGCUCAGAUUGAACGCUAGCGGGAUGCCUUACACAUGCAAGUCGAACGGCAGCGCGGACUUCGGUCUGGCGGCGAGUGGCGAACGGGUGAGUAAUGUAUCGGAACGUGCCCAGUAGCGGGGGACAACCACUCGAAAGAGUGGCUAAUAUCGCAUACGCCCUACGGGGAAAGGGGGGGAUCGAAAGACCUCUCACUAUUGGAGCGGCCGAUAUCGGAUUAGCUAGUUGGUGGGGUAAAGGCCUACCAAGGCGACGAUCCGUAGCUGGUUUGAGAGGACGACCAGCCACACUGGGACUGAGACACGGCCCAGACUCCUACGGGAGGCAGCAGUGGGGAAUUUUGGACAAUGGGGGAAACCCUGAUCCAGCCAUUCCGCGUGUGCGAUGAAGGCCUUCGGGUUGUAAAGCACUUUUGGCAGGAAAGAAAUCGUGUGGGUUAAUACCCUGCGCGGAUGACGGUACCUGCAGAAUAAGCACCGGCUAACUACGUG